rnacentral:rRNA from 1 species
UCGGAAUUGCUAGUAAUCGCGGAUCAGCAUGCCGCGGUGAAUACGUUCCCGGGUCUUGUACACACCGCCCGUCACACCACGAGAGUUUACAACACCCGAAGUCGGUGGGGUAACCCGCAAGGGAGCCAGCCGCCGAAGGUGGGGUAGAUGAUUGGGGUGAAGUCGUAACAAGGUAGCCGUAUCGGAAGGUGCGGCUGGAUCACCUCCUUUCUAUGGAG